rnacentral:rRNA from 1 species
GACGAACGCUGGCGGCGUGCUUAACACAUGCAAGUCGAGCGGAGCGGCGAACGGGUGAGUAACGCGUGAGUAACUGCCCCCCUCUCUGGGAUAAAAGUUGGAAACGGCUGCGAAUACCGGAUAGUGGGGGAUGACUCGCGUCCUAUCAGCUUGUUGGUGGGGUAGUGGCCUACCAAGGCGACGACGGGUAGCCGGCCUUUGAGGGCGACCGGCCUCAUAGGGCUUGGAUCCGGCCCAAACUCCUACGGUGGGCAGCAGUGGGGAAUAGUGUACAAUGGGGGAAACACUGAUGCAGCAACGCCGCGGGCGUGAUGACGUCCUUCGGGUUGUAAACCGCUUUCAGCCAUGACGCGGUAGUGGCAGAAGAAGCACCGGCUAACUACGUGCCAGCAGCCGCGGUAAUUC